GGAUAGAUGGGAAAAACGGCAGACCAGGGCUGCAUUUGGUGGGGGUGUGAGUGCCAUGCUGUAGGCUGUGGGACAGUCGGGACAGUGCAAGGUGUUGCUACUGCUAGGUGUGGUUUGGUUUCCAGAAAGGGAAGAGCAUGCAUAGUGAUAAUGGUGGAGGUAAAAAAAAAAAAAAAAAAAAAAAGGGGGAGAGAUGGAAGGAUUGGUCAUGCGCAAGAAGUUGGUGUCAUGCCAAGAACAGAGCUGUUAAGUCCCACAAAUCUUCAAUAUGAUAAAGACCGCAGGCCGUUGGAGGCAGCUCAGAAAUCUCUUACAUCUGGAACAGCCGUAAUUCGUGGGACUUGGCCUGACAGCCAUGACAGUCAUCGGGGCGACCGACAACAACUGUCUCCUGUGUUAGCGGCCGCAGUGCAUAUGUGUGUGAGUGUUAGCUUCAUUUCAGAGAGUGACUGUGGCUAUAGGCUGUAUGUGUGUGUGUGAACAUGACUCUUUCUGUUUAGAAGGGAAACUUUUUGAACAAGUUCCUUAUGUGAUCUGAAUUUGUUCUAUUGAGAAAUUUUCUAAGCAGUUUUAAUGAAGAUUUUCUGUAAAGUCAACAAAUAUAAAGCAUAAAGAGCGUAGAAAUGUAUAUUACAAAAAAUAGCAAUGCCUUUUAAAAAAAAUAUAUAAAAGCUUUAUAUUAAUUUUGUUUCACUUUUUCUUUUCUUUCUUUCUUUUUUACUUGGUUGUGUUUCCACUAUUUAUGAAUAAAAAUACAAUGUUGUUCUCCUUUCAGAGCUUUCUUAGAAAUUAAGUUAGAAAUUAAUUUAAUUUCACCUGUUGCAUUUUUAUCUCAACUUUUUAAAAUUCUUUAAUAUAUGAUCUAUUCUUUCUAUAUUAAUAUUGUAUUUAAGAGAGCUCCACUUUUGUAGUACAGUUAUGGAAGGAAAAAAUAGAAUCUACAAUAAACACUCACAUUCCAGUAUUGUGCAUUUAUUUACGAUUACACACGAGUUAUGUCUCAGAUAACUGUUUUUAACAAAAAAUUGCCAAAAAUAAACAAAACAAAAAUUUCAAUUACUCUGGAAAAAUGAUUACUUCCUUGGUUGUUGUUGCAAAAUAAAUUAGAAAUCUAAUCUAAGAUCAAUUUUAAAUGGGGAAUUUUAAUAAAGUCUCGCUUGAGUGGUUUUACAUUGGAGUUAUUUAUUCCACUUUACAUCAUAUCCGGUGUCGUUCUAUGAAUUUAGAGUAAGAUCUGCUGCCUCCCUGCGCAGAGUUUGAUGACCAGGACACAUUCUGCCUCUCACCAUAUUCCCCAGCUAAGUCAGGCUCCAGUCGCACUACACCCAACACAUGACAGGGGAUAUGGGAAAGAUGGAUUUGUAAAUUUAAUUUCUCUCUAUAAAAGGGCAGAAACUUGCUCUACUAAUCUGGCUGAACAUUAAACUCCAAAGAUUAUUCCGGGAUAAUACUGUAUGCACCCAGGACAAGCAAGCUCAAAGUUCCAACACUUCUCUUCACAGCAACACGACGACAAACUGAUAUGCAGCAGACAAAUUGUCAGUUUGUUUUAUGGUGGGAGAGGGACACCCUGCCACAGCCCGACGUGCUACGCACAGACAGUAGCGAUCGUUUGCAGGUCCAAAAUCCCAUAUUUCACAUUCCUGAUUCCAACAGCUCGCCUGCUAAGCUGGGCACCACAUGAAGAGCCAUUGUUAGAGUGAGAGGGUCAUGUAUCGCUCCCUCUCUCUGUCUCUUGCUCUGUCUUUCAGUCUUCCUCUAUUACUGUCAGACAUUAUCUGUGACUCUUGCUCUGUGUAUCCGUCCACAUUUCACUCUCCUGGCUCUCUGCUGGCUAAUGUCGCCUGGUUUUCCCCACCAUCUUGCACGAGUUUGUAUAUUUCUUGCUUUGCUUCGCUCAAGCCGUCGUGUCCCAGUCGUGCUGUUUUUGUCUGUGGCUCUGCUUUUCUGCAAGACUCUCACUUUGCUUUCUGCCUGUUUUUCCUUUGUGUCUGUCUCCUCCUGUAUCCCGCUGUCUGUCUCUCCAUCUCCCGCUCCCUCUGCGUCUCCAGAUAUUCAUGGAGAGAUUUUCUCACAUGUUGGAUAUAGAUUUAUGACCCCAGCAAGAUCCCCGUGGCCACUAAAUUUGAUACCAUCCACUAAGCCACAUUGUUUUUUUGUGUGUGUUCGGGCUUGUCUGUUGUGCGCGAUUGUGCGUAAGUAUGUGUGUGCAUGUCUGGGUGAGUGUGUUCAUGCAUUACAAGGUGGAGGCGGGUGACUUUUAAAGGGUUAGCUUGGGUAUGCUGGGUGCAGAGGAGGAAUUUACAGUUUAUUGAAGCACAGCAGUCAGGUAUGUGUGCGAGUGUGCACAUCGGGAUGUCAGUGGGGGUGUGCGUGUGUGUGUAUGUGUGUGAUAAAGAAAAAGAAGGAAAGAGAGAGAGAGAGAGAGCGCCUGUGGGUGCCAGGUGACCAGGCUAACCUCUUGGCUGGUGUUUUGGAUUUAGCCUUUGGAUAGCAAAGCAAAAUAAAAACGGAAUGCUUUUUCAAUUACAGAUCAGAGAGAGAGUGAACAAAGGCAGGAGAACAGGGAAAAAGUUAUUGGGAUCUAAUAUAUCAGAAGCUUUGUGCCUCUAAAAUCUAAGUGCUUUAAUUUUGACAGUCAGAACAUUUUGUUCUUGAAUAUUUAUAGUUCACAAGGGUCGCAUAAUUUUUACUAAAUUUUUCUAAGUAAUAUCUCUUGUAAAAGCUUUUCAUUUUAGAAGAUUCCUGCACGCCUUCUGAUAGGUUUUGUGGAAAUUGCAGAUUUCUGUCAUUUUUUUGCUUUUUAUGUACUCCCAACUAAUAAGACGAGUUGUACAUUUAACUUUGGAAAAUUGAGCAACUAGCUCCGUUUUAAAACUCACAAACACGAGCUGCAAAAAUAGAAGAUGGCUGAAACAGAAUAUGAAGUCACACAGAGACACACCUGUGGAAGACAGCCACUUACUGUGUCUUUAUGUUGUCUUAUUAAUUCUGACAGGAAAGGCACCUGAACUCUCCCGUGCAUAUUUUAUUGGCUGUAGGUGGUAUUUGUUGUGUAUUUAUGUCUUUUUUUUUGUUUGAAUACUCUGUUCCUUCAACUUAUUCCACAAGUUGUCGAGGGCGGGGUAUUUCAAAAUGGCAUUGUAGAGUGCAUAGGAUUGUAAUGUGCUUGUGUGUGAUGUGAAAAGAAAUGCUUCUCGCUUUUGAUGUUUGGCUGAGAGGAAUGGCACAAAAAUAAAAGCCUUGUAAAAUAAAGGAAUGUUUUUGCAGGCUCGAGAGUGUGCGAUCCCCUAAAAUUGUUUAUCUGUCAGUCAGGCGGCAUGCGCGCACACCGACUGCGCUCAAACAUGUGUUGGAUUGAAGGGGUGUGUGUGUGUGUGUGGGGGUGUGCGCGAGAGUGUGUCCACGCCUACAUCUAAAAGCCGUAUCUGGCUUCAGAUCAAAUGGUGUAUGAAGUAGGGGAAUGACACAGAGAGAAAAGUGAUAGCUCUUUAAUGUUACCUAUCCACUCUCAAACCCAAAUAUAAGACCAGGAACAUACGGAAUAGAGAAGUGUGUUUUAGAAGAAAAGGAGUGACAUGAAACACUUAUGUAGAAAAGCUCUGAACAUGACUUGGGCUUUGUAGCGAGGGGGAAGAAGAUGUCUCUCAAAAAAAAAAUAAAAAAAGAAAGAAAGAAAGAGUAAAUUGGAUUGAGAGAAGAGUGAAGAUGGGGCGAAGAAUUAAACAGUGACAUGCGCUUUUAUAGUUUGUGUAUGUUAGGGUACAGUCAUGUUUCGUAUCAUGUCUAACUUGUGUUUUGUUUCUCUUCUCGCUCUGCUCACUCUAAACUUUUCACUGUCAUUGCGUCUGAGCCAAAUGUUAUCACAGCAGCUGCAUUUGUGUCCAUAAAUUGCUGCAGUUUUAAGGAUUUAAACAUGCAAUCAUUUUCAGAAAGAAAUGUCUCAUUUAACAUCUGUUGUUGAAUUCACCUUGAUCAUUCCUAUUAUUCUUUUUUUUUCCUCCCUGCAGGUCUGAAGCACAAGCUGAAAUAGAUCAAAAUAUUUAAUCUUUCCAAAAUCGUUUUCGUGUCUCUGUUCAUUUUAGCAAUUAACUUUACAUGAUUUGUUUCUUGUAAUGCUGAUAAGUUCAGAUAAACUACAUAAAUAAAAUAAUGUACUACUAACCAC